rnacentral:rRNA from 1 species
CACCACAACAGGUGGAGCCUGCGGUUUAAUCGGACUCAACGCCGGGAAACUCACCAGAUAAGACAGCUGAAUGAUAGUCGGGCUGAAGACUCUACUUGACUAGCUGAGAGGAGGUGCAUGGCCGUCGUCAGUUCGUACUGUGAAGCAUCCUGUUAAGUCAGGCAACGAGCGAGACCCACGCCAACAGUUGCCAGCUCGUCCUCCGGGAUGGAGGGGACACUGUUGGGACCGCCUCUGCUAAAGAGGAGGAAGGAAUGGGCAACGGUAGGUCAGCAUGCCCCGAAUUAUCUGGGCUACACGCGGGCUACAAUGGGUGGGACAAUGGGUAUCGACACCGAAAGGUGAAGGCAAUCUCCUAAACCCAUCCUUAGUUCGGAUUGUGGGCUGCAACUCGCCCACAUGAAGCUGGAAUCUGUAGUAAUCGUGUUUCAAAAUAGCACGGUGAAUAUGUCCCUGCUCCUU